UUGCCCAUAUGAAUUACGUAUCUGAGACGUACGAGCCCAGCCGUUUUGAAGACGCUUUUAAGAUCUUUUCAAGACGCUUGAUAUUUAGAAUGAUGGUUAGCAGAUGUUUCUAAGAUAUUUCCAAGAUGUUUCUUAGAUCUUUAAAAGAUCUUUAUAAGAGCUUUAAUCGAGCUCUUUCUAAGAUGUUUCUGAGAGCUUUAAAAGACGAUUAAAAGAUCAUUAAAAAUAAAUUGCUCUAAACUACAUCUUCUACACAGUUAUACACACAUAUUAUUACAAUAUAUCAUUGACAACAAUUAAAACAGUUUUUUCAAUAAAACAGGCAGUUGAUUGCGUAAAAUUUAUUAAAAUUAGACAAAGGAAAACAUUCAUAAGAUGCAUAUUUACACGAGUGUAUGCAAAAAAAGCAAUGUUUUUCUAUAACAUACAAAGAAACACAAUAUCUUUAAAUUAAUCAAAUGCUUCCUCGGGCAAAGAACAUCUUUUCCCGAUUUUCCGCGUCUCCUUCAGUGGUAGACGGACAGAUUCUUCAUCUGCAGCAGCUGCAUUCUAAAAGAAACCAUUACAAAAAUAAGGAAAAAUUAAUUUUACAAACUAUGUCAUAUGUUUUCUUUGUUUCCUCAAUAUAACUCUGAUUAGAAUGUCAAACAAAGAUAAAAUCAUCCGUAUUAAUCGUCAAUAUCGUGUAUAUUAUUAAUAUGAGUGUCUUUGCGUUAAAUUCGUGCUACACCACACCAUGCACUUAUAUCGACGUCGCAAUGCAAAAGAAGAAGGGCAAGAAAGAAACCUGUCCUGGUCUGGCGAUUUAAGGGAACAUUUGUUUAAGGUAUGUAGUAAUAAUACAUUUUAAUAAUGCUGGGUGUGGGAUCAGUUAACUAGAAAUUUCGUUGAUAAUAAGCAAUGUAUGUACAGUAACUAGCUAGUUCACGUUAGAUAUUUUAUUCACGUGUCUGUGGUUAUUUUAGGUUUUUGAUAGUUAAUUUCACUGAUAGUUUGAGCCCGUGUAAAUUUCUUAAAAACCUGUAAUUAUUAUUUUAUUUAACAUAAUUAUGUUUGCUGUCAAGACUGAUAUUUAUUUAUAUAUAUUUAUUGACGUUGAUAUGUAAACUUAACCUACUCAGUUGUACUUGACUAAUGCAAUAAUGACAGGUCCACCUGUUUAAGUAUAUUGUAAAACAUUUGAACAUAACAACAUUUGGACAUAACAUACACACAUUGUUUCCGCCUGCAUCAAUUUAGUUGUAUAGCUGCAUUGCUGGUUAACACCUCUGGGCAGAUUCUCCAUGUUCUUCUUUUAUGUGUAGCUGCUCACCUUAAACAGAUACAGUACAUUGAAGUAAUGUUUAAAACAAAUUAAGCCCUAUAAUAUUGUUUAUGUUUACAAUAAUUGGUAAAAAGUUUGACGGAUAAAAUGGUUCUUACCAUUCUCUAUAUAAGCCCCUCUGUUAACUUUUGUUCAAGCCUGUCUAGAUCUUUUAUCAGUCUAGAAAGAUGUUGGAGAAAAGACAUCAUCCUCUUCUAUAAUCUCCAUCUGUAAUUGGAUUAACAACUGGACCAGUGAAUGCAGGCAACUUACUCUCCAUUCGACCUUGCAGGUCACACCAUGGUCUCAAGAGUGAAAAUGAGUGCUCUAUGGAUUGAACAGAAAAGGUGAAUCAAAACUCCAACCAUCUGUAUGAGGGUCUGGAUGGAUAAAGGAUGCCCACUGGAGCUGGAAAUGAUGGAUCAGGUGGAUCCACACUUGAACCAUCUGUAUGAUGAUCUGCACCCACUGGAUCUGUAAAUGGUGGUGCAGGUUUCUGAAUUGAUGUCAGAUGCAAAGCAGAAGCUUAUUUUCUUCCAGUUUGGCUUCAUUGUGGAAAAAUGCUUGAAACUAAAAUGCAGAAUUCUGGCCUGGUGUUUGGUCCCCCCUUUCUCUGGCUUGUGUCUCCAUCAUCAUUACACUCUUGUCAGUGUAAUAGUAUCGUCGUCUGCGUACCAGGACUUUGUUACUCAGCUGUCCCUUCUCCUUCAAGCUACAUUUUUGUCAAGCUGCAACAAGUUGGAAUACAUAAUUAUUAACGUUUAAUGAUUUUGAUGUAUGAAAUAUGUAACAAAAGCAAAAAAUGUAUAGACAUUCUAUUAAGAAAUUACCUUUUUGUUGUUUGUUUACUGACCUUUCAACCAUAUUGCAUUUAUAAUUGAUCAUCAUACCUUUGGUCUACUGU